rnacentral:rRNA from 1 species
UGGGGAAUUUUGGACAAUGGGCGAAAGCCUGAUCCAGCAAUGCCGCGUGUGCGAUGACGGCCUUCGGGUUGUAAAGCACUUUCAGUUGUGAAGAAAUGUACAUGGUUAAUAGCCAUGUAAGCUGACGUUAACAACAAAAGAAGCACCGGCUAACUCUGUGCCAGCAGCCGCGGUAAUACAGAGGGUGCGAGCGUUAAUCGGAAUUACUGGGCGUAAAGAGCGCGUAGGUGGUCUACUAAGUUGUGUGUGAAAGCCCCGAGCUUAACUUGGGAAUUGCAUGCAAUACUGGUAGUCUAGAGUAUGGUAGAGGGAAGUGGAAUUUCCGGUGUAGCGGUGAAAUGCAUAGAUAUCGGAAGGAACACCAGUGGCGAAGGCGACUUCCUGGGCCAAUACUGACACUGAGGCGCGAAAGCGUGGGUAGCAAACAGG